rnacentral:lncRNA from 1 species
UCAAAUUGAACUCCAGCUCGUUCCCGGUUCACAACGAAAAGAAUGUGAUCACCUUCCACAAUUUUAUAGUACCUGCACAGAAGAGGAAACUUGAUGAUUCCUGGAAUAGAACAUAAUACUCUUUGAUGAGGUAAGUUCCCAUACAUUACUCAAAGCGUAGAGAACAUAAUUCAAUAUAAGCAUAUUUCUUUGAAUAAUAGAUUCUUGGAACUCGCACUUCAACCAAGUGAUAAAGACUACAUUUGCUUCAGAUAUCACCUAAAGAUCUAAAUCUACUAAUGGAGGAAAACUAUAUCCAAUCAAUGCAUAUAAGUUAGUAUCCAUCUCUUUGAUAUAGGUAGGUAUAGAUGGUCAGACGAAUCUAUCACCAAAAUCAGUUAGGAGACAAAAUAAUUUAUGUCACUUUCACAUGAUAUUAUUGAGUUCUGAUUUGGAAUUCUACUAGAAGAAUGAUCAAUACUACAUUAAAUCCUAAUGAAGAAAAAGGAUAAUAUUUGAUAAGAUACAUCUUGCAAGGAAAAUAUGGCUAUAACAAUGGCUUAUCAUAAAGCAAAGAACCAAUUCUUUGAAACCUCAAUUGUUAAUACCCAGGAAUAUGAGUGGCAAACGGGCGGGGCGGGGCGGAUAUGGUUCGGGUCGAAAACGGGUAAUGAAAAAAACGGACCAAUUAUCCGACCCGACCCAUAUUUAAUACGGAUAAAAAUGGGUUAACCGGACCAUAUUAUCCAUGAAUUCUUGCAUAUGAUCACUUUUGGGAGAAUUCUUAAUCUCCCUAACUUGAGGAACCCCAAUUUGAGGCUUUACAAAUGUAAAAGUUAGACCCAUUGGUUAUCCAUUUUCUAAAUGGAUAAUAUGAUUCUUAUCCAUAUUUGACCAAUUUUUAAGAAGUUCAUUAUCCAACACAUUUUUUAGUGGAUAAUAUGGAUGGUUAACUGUUUUCUUUUAACCAUUUUGCCACCCCUACCCAGGAAUACUAAUGACAUAAAUGAAGACUAACAAUGAGGACUGUGUAGUUAUUAAAGGCUAUGGACACAGAACUAGAAGAGAUACUAUAUGAUAUUAACUUGGCUAAACAAAUACAAGAGCAGAAUCUGACUGGUCACCUACCAGAUGCC